CCUACGGGUGGCAGCAGUGAGGAAUAUUGGUCAAUGGGCGUAAGUCUGAACCAGCCAAGUCGCGUGAGGGAUGAAGGCUCUAUGGAUCGUAAACCUCUUUUAUAAGGGAAUAAAGUGUGGGACGUGUCCUAUUUUGUAUGUACCUUAUGAAUAAGGAUCGGCUAAUUCCGUGCCAGCAGCCGCGGUAAUACGGAGGAUCCGAGCGUUAUCCGGAUUUAUUGGGUUUAAAGGGUGCGUAGGCGGCCUCUUAAGUCAGCGGUGAAAGUCUGUGGCUCAACCAUAGAAUUGCCGUUGAAACUGGGGGGCUUGAGUGUGUUUGAGGCAGGCGGAAUGCGUGGUGUAGCGGUGAAAUGCUUAGAUAUCACGCAGAACCCCGAUUGCGAAGGCAGCCUGCCAUGCCAUGACUGACGCUGAUGCACGAAGGCGUGGGGAUCGAACAGGAUUAGAUACCCUUGCAGUC
rnacentral:rRNA from 1 species